rnacentral:lncRNA from 1 species
UUGUCCUCUGAAGGGGCGGCGCAUGGGCGUCCCCCGCCCUGCUAGCCCCAUCUCCUUCCCUGUCCCUGCUUGGGCAGGAGGCCCAAGCCCUGACAACAGAGGUGAGAGAGGCUGUGCCAGCCCUUCUCUGGGCAUGUCUGGGCUCAAGGGCCAGGCUCUGUCUCCAGUCUAGGGCCAAGCUGGGGCCUGUGGCAGGAUCAGAUAGAGGCAAAACAUUGAUGAGGCAGGGGGACGGACAAAAUGGGCCUUCCAGAGGUGCUCUCAGACCCUCCCAGCCACACUACAGCCGCAGAGCCCUCCGCUCACAAACCAUCCUGGCCUCAUCAGAACCUGGGGAGGGUUCCUAGUUGUGCAGGGGGUUCCCUGUACGUACCCCUUUCCCUCCAGCACUGGAGCCCGAGUCUCCCGCUGAGCAGGCACCUCUCCCUCCACGCCCAGGCUUCUUAAACCAACCCCUCCUCCCCUUGUCAUUCAUGAACCAGAUGCAGAAACUGAGGCUCAGAAGCGUUCGGCCACGUGCAUGCAUUGCCUUUCCCAUUGGUGCUCCAUCGCCAGUAAUGGAUAAGUAAUAAGUAAUAAGGUGCAUUGGAAAUUCAAAUUUCAGAAUAAGCUGACUGCCAAGAGGGCCCUCCCCCUGUCGGGAGUCCCUUAGUCCAUGGGAAAUUCACAGAGAAGGAAACAGUCACUUUUCCUGCACCUGAGAAGGUGAUUCUGACUCUCCUGGAACCUGAGAACCACCAGUCUACGGGAACAGAGCCCUGCUUUGGGUCAGGAAGCGAGGAGCGCCUCUUCCCCGCCGCCAUCCCAUCUAGG